UUGCGGUACGUGAAGCGCAGUACCGUCGCUGAAGCCCCCUUGCGAUACAUAGUGGUGCCACCUAGCGGAACACUUCCCGUCUUCUGUACGGCUGCAAUCGUUGCAUGGAGUCAGUCGUUUCACGAAUACCGCGGGUAGUUUGCGCGAAGGCUCGCCGCCGCCUUUAACCGUUGUACGACGGAUCGUCCGUCGUUUCGCGGUCCGAGGUUCGUCCGCGUGUCUUCGACCACCUUUCCCGCCUGGAUUUUUGUGUGGUUUUACUCGUCGGAUUUGAGUGACAAUCGCAAGCGAUGUAACCGUGCCCUGACGUCACACGGCUAAUCAAGUGCACACACGAACACAAACACAGGCGCGCGCGCGCCUGCUACUCGUAUCCGUAUACACGGAUGGUCUACGCAGCCUGCACGCAGUAUACUACGUACAAACACGUAUAGGGCUGUGCACACGGCCAAACUGAUAGAGAACGAAGGAGAGGGAAGAAACAGUGAGAUCGCGAAAGACAGAGGAGAAAGAACGGAAACAGAGAGAUAAGAAAGAAAGGAAGAUAUAUAUGUAUAUAUAUAUGCAUGCGUGUAUAUAUAUAUAUAUACGUUACGUAGCGUGAAAACGGUAUUAGAGAAAAGAGGUGAGGCGUAAGACGUAUACAACGGAGGACAUUUCACACUGGCACAUACAUCUAUACGUGAUUAGUGAGUCUUUCGUCUUCGUAAAAUACUGUACGCAGAUAAUUAUUGGUGAAAAAGGACAGUGAGCUUGGACGUUUGUUCGAUUGUGAUAUUGGGUAAUCGAUUUUUCUCGAAUCCCGUGUUUUUGUGUCUCUCUGUAAAGGAUUUCGCGUUUUCGACACGUGCAAGACAAGGCUAUGAAAUAGAAUAAAGAAGAGGAGGAAAGAGUGAGAGAGAAGUAUCUACAUCUCGUGGCGCCCCGUUGUGUUUUUCUACGGAAAGCUGUGCUCGGAACCUGCGUGAACUCUCAGAGUGGAAGAAAACGUUUGGUAGGGAGUAAACGGAAUAGUAGAAAAAAAAAGUUCCUUGCGGAUGACGAAUGAUAAAAAAAUUCUUUGCGGGUUUCUGUUGGUUUGAGAUUAGUGAAAUCGACGAAGAAGCGAGCGAAGCCUGAACUGGAACGGAGUCCGAUGGACGAGAACAAGUUUUAUCCUAAUCGAGUCGGUCAGUUGAGUGAUCGGCAAGAUUACGAAGGUUAGAAGAUCACCCGAAACGGAAAUUCAUCGAGGACGGAAGAAGCUUCUUCGAUUUGAUCGUGAGGAGGCGAUUUCUAAAAGAAAUAAUAAUUCUACGGCGCCUGGAAGAAAAACGUUUCUCCCUCGGUGAUAUCUUCGUAGAAGAUAUCUGUCAUUGAAUAUUUACAGGAGAUAUUUGGAAGUUUGGAAAAGGAGAGAGAAAAGCGAUAAUGCUUCUGUGUAAUGAGAACGACGCGACGGGCUAAGAAAAAAGACAGGGAACGCCUGAGGUUUCUAUUCUUCGCCGGUAGAUUACGCAUACGGUUAACGAGAAGGAGACACAAAUAUCUUGGCUUGCACGUUAGCGAGCGAGAAAGUAGCGUGUCGAAAAGUGAACUCGAUAUUCGAGGACGAAAAGGAAACGAAGGUGUGACGGUGCUCGGUCGAUAAGGAGAGUUCUAAAGUGUCUCGUGAAGACCGAGGGGAAAGGAAAAAAGUCUACUCCGAUAUAAUAUUUCGCGGUAGUGAAUUUCGACGGCGAGGCGCGAAUAUAUCCGUCGAAAGUACUCCGAAUGUCGGUUAACGAAGAGGAAAAAUACGAUAGAACGAUGCGAUUAAGAACGCGUGUUUUGUACGUGAGUGUCGGUGGAGGGAAAGAAACUAUUCGCCUUCGUUGAUUUUCAACACGAGACCGAGUGAUGAAUUGUUUCGAACAUUCGAAUUACUAAGUAUUUCAAUUCGACGGUGUUUAAAAAAAGAAAAAAAACAAAA